rnacentral:tRNA from 5 species
GCCCAGAUAGCUCAGUUGGUAGAGCAGAGGACUGAAAAUCCUCGUGUCGCUGGUUCGAUUCCGGCUCUGGGCACUA